UUUAAGGUGGCAGAGUAGUGCGUUAGGUUUAAGCCCUAAAUAUGGAAAUUUAGAAUGUUUCCCUUUGUGG
rnacentral:tRNA from 1 species